rnacentral:rRNA from 1 species
UACGAAGGGGGCUAGCGUUGCUCGGAAUCACUGGGCGUAAAGGGUGCGUAGGCGGGUCUUUAAGUCAGGGGUGAAAUCCUGGAGCUCAACUCCAGAACUGCCUUUGAUACUGAAGAUCUUGAGUCCGGGAGAGGUGAGUGGAACUGCGAGUGUAGAGGUGAAAUUCGUAGAUAUUCGCAAGAACACCAGUGGCGAAGGCGGCUCACUGGCCCGGUACUGACGCUGAGGCACGGAAAGCGUGGGGAGCAACAGG